CCUACGGGUGGCAGCAGUGAGGAAUAUUGGUCAAUGGACGAGAGUCUGAACCAGCCAAGUAGCGUGAAGGAUGACUGCCCUCUGGGUUGUAAACUUCUUUUAUAUGGGAGUAAACUGUUACGCGUGUGGGAUUUUGUAUGUACCAUAUGAAUAAGGAUCGGCUAACUCCGUGCCAGCAGCCGCGGUAAUACGGAGGAUCCGAGCGUUAUCCGGAUUUAUUGGGUGUAAAGGGAGCGUAGGUGGAUUGGUAAGUCAGUUGUGAAAGUUUGCGGCUCAACCGCAGGAUUGCAGUUGAAACUGGCAGUCUUGAGUACAGUAGAGGUAGGCGGAAUUCGUGGUGUAGCGGUGAAAUGCUUAGAUAUCAGGAAGAACUCCGAUUGCGAAGGCAGCUCACUGGACUGAAACUGACACUGAGGCUCGAAAGUGUGGGUAUCAAACAGGAUUAGAUACCCCUGUAGUC
rnacentral:rRNA from 1 species